rnacentral:rRNA from 1 species
AGAGUGCGUAAUAGCUCACUAGUCGAGAGGUCCUGCGCCGAAAAUGUCCGGGGCUAAAACACAACACCGAAGCUUAGGAAUUCUAAUGAAUUGGUAGAGGAGCAUUGAAGACGGAACGAAGCCAUACCGAAAGGAAUGGUGGACUGUCUUGAAGAGAGAAUGCCGGAAUGAGUAGCGAGAUUGAAGUGAGAAUCUUCAAGGCCGAAUAUCUAAGGUUUCCAGGGUAAAGCUGAUCUGCCCUGGGUAAGUCGGGGCCUAAGGCAAGGUCGAAAGACGUAGUCGAUGGAUAACAGGUUGAAAUUCCUGUACUGCAUCAAAUCAGAAAUGUGGGGACACAUGAGGGAAGCAUGAGCCGGAAAAGGAAAGUCCGGUACAAGCGCAGCAGAGGACAGAUAGGCAAAACCGUCUGUCAACUCGAGGGCGCGAUGUGGAGCGAACCAAAGUAGCGAAGCAUGUGGAGCUUGUGUCGAGAAAAGCCGCUAUAGUGUUUGAUGUACCCGUACCGUAAACCGACACAGGUGGAUGAGGAGAGAAUCCUAAGGCCGGCGGGAGAAGCAUUGUUAAGGAACUCGGCAAAAUGACCCCGUAACUUCGGGAGAAGGGGUGCUCCAGAGAUGGAGCCGCAGAGAACUGGCCCAAGCAACUGUUUAGCAAAAACACAGGUCUAUGCAAAACCGAAAGGUGAGGUAUAUGGGCUGACGCCUGCCCGGUGCUGGAAGGUUAAGAGGAGAGGUUAGCGCAAGCGAAGCUUUGAAUUUAAGCCCCAGUAAACGGCGGCCGUAACUAUAACGGUCCUAAGGUAGCGAAAUUCCUUGUCGGGUAAGUUCCGACCCGCACGAAAGGCGUAAUGAUUUGGGCACUGUCUCAACAAUGCACCCGGUGAAAUUGAAAUACCAGUGAAGAUGCUGGUUACCUGCGCCAGGACGGAAAGACCCCAUGGAGCUUUACUCUAGCUUGAUACUGGGGUUCGGUAUUGCAUGUACAGGAUAGGUGGGAGACUGAGAAGAUGUGUCGCCAGAUGCAUCAGAGUCGAUGUUGGGAUACCACCCCUGCAGUACUGGGCUUCUAACCUGCAGCCGUGACCCGGCUGGGGGACAAUGUCUGGUGGGGAGUUUGACUGGGGCGGUCGCCUCCGAAAGAGUAUCGGAGGCGCUCAAAGGUUCCCUCAGAAUGGUUGGAAACCAUUCGAAGAGCGCAAAGGCAGAAGGGAGCUUGACUGCGACACCGACGGGUGGAGCAGGUACGAAAG